rnacentral:rRNA from 1 species
CAUAUCAAUAAGCGGAGGAAAAGAAACCAACAGGGAUUGCCUCAGUAACUGCGAGUGAAGCGGCAAAAGCUCAAAUUUGAAAUCUGGUACCUUUGGGUGCUCGAGUUGUAAUUUGGAGAGGCAACUUCGGAGGAGGCGCUGGCCUAAGUUCCUUGGAACAGGACGUCACAGAGGGUGAGAAUCCCGUGCUUGGCUGGCUGUCCUCCUUCAUGUGAAGUGUCUUCGACGAGUCGAGUUGUUUGGGAAUGCAGCUCAAAAUGGGUGGUAAACUCCAUCUAAGGCUAAAUAUUGGCGAGAAACCGAUAGCGCACAAGUAGAGUGAUCGAAAGAUGAAAAGCACUUUGAAAAGAGAGUUAAACAGUACGUGAAAUUGUUGAAAGGGAAGCGCUUGAGACCAGACUCGGUGAUAGGUGAUCAGCGGUUGCUUUUGCUCCGUGCACUUGCCUUUUACCGGGCCAGCAUCAGUUGUGACGGUGGGAUAAAGACUCCGGGAAUGUGGCUCUCUUCGGGGAGUGUUAUAGCCCUGGGUGUAAUGCCGCCUGUUACGACUGAGGACCGCGCUUCGGCUAGGAUGCUGGCAUAAUGGUCUUCAGCGACCCGUCUUGAAACACGGACCAAGGAGUCUAACAUCUAUGCGAGUGUUCGGGUGUAAAACCCCUACGCGUAAUGAAAGUGAACGGAGGUGGGAACUCUUUGGAGUGCACCAUCGACCGAUCCUGAUGUCUUCGGAUGGAUUUGAGUAGGAGCAUAGCUGUUGGGACCCGAAAGAUGGUGAACUAUGCCUGAAUAGGGUGAAGCCAGAGGAAACUCUGGUGGAGGCUCGCAGCGGUUCUGACGUGCAAAUCGAUCGUCAAAUUUGGGUAUAGGGGCGAAAGACUA